GUGCAGCAGUCGCGAAUACUCCACAAUGCGCGAAAGCGCGAUGGGGCUAUCCCGAGUGCCGUCCGCUGAGGAUGGCUUUUCUCCGAGUGUAAGGAGCUGGAGGAAUAAGGAGAGGGCAAGUCUGGUGUCAGCCGCCGCGGUAAUACCAGCUCUCCGAGUGGUAGGGACGUUUAUUGGGCUUAAAGCGUCCGUAGCCGGCUCAGCAAGUCCUCCGUUAAAUCCAGCGAUUCAAUCGUUGGACUGCGGGGGAUACUGCUGGGCUAGGGGACGGGAGAGGCCGACGGUAUUCCCGGAGUAGGGGUGAAAUCCUAUAAUUCCGGGAGGACCACCAGUGGCGAAGGCUGUCGGCUAGAACGAGCUCGACGGUGAGGGACGAAAGCUGGGGGAGCGAACCGGAUUAGAUACCCCUGUAGU
rnacentral:rRNA from 1 species